AUCCGGGCGGGCCAUCUUAUGCAGGUCACCGAUAUGCCAUCCUGGUGCGGAACGGAAGAGCACAGCAUCUUUGAAGUUGCCGAAGAUUAGACUGGGAGUGAGGGAUUCGACGCCGCGUCUCUUCCAGUAACUCACCUUGUAACUGAAUGGUGACUGAUUCAAGCGGAUAUUCCGCCGGCUUUAUAAAUGAUAACGAUGGCUCGCCUACUCCAUUCUAUCUAGAUAAAUGGACAUCCACCGAAGAAAGAAUCAAUCAAUUGUGAAAAAGCAAAGUACUUGGAAAGGAAAUUCCCAAAGCUACAUGGGUAUGUAAUGUACAGUUAAUAAUUAUCUACAUAAUCAAUGAAAUCGACAAUGUUAGUUUAAUCUCGUUAAAUUGGACGUGAUUUAUUCUUCGAUAUGAUAUAAUGUGUGUGCAUUUCAUAUUAAAAAUAUUCCCACAUAAACAAAAAGAUGUUUUUUAGAUUUCUAAAAGAUGUCUGUCUAUAUCUUGAGAUUCCAGCAAACGAGAAAUAAUUGAAAAAUAUUUAGGAUUAUUAAAUGGAACGAAAUUAAAUCAAGUUUUUGGAUUGUUUGAAUCCGUUUUCUAUCCGUAAUCCAUUUGAAUCAUUAAUUACGGAUUGACUAUUUGCUUUCUGUAUCUUAUUCAAUGUACAUAAAAGUAAAACGUGCGACCUAUUCAUUUGAAUCCGUAAUUGUGGAUUAGUUAUUUGCUUUUGAUAUCAUAUUUAAUGUACAAUGAAAUAAACGUGCGACCAAUUUGUUUGAAUCUGUAAUUGUGGAUUGGCCAUUUGCUUUUGGUAUCAUAUUCAAUAUACAAUGCAAUGAAUUAUAUUUAACUACUCUAACAGCACAACCAUCCAUAUGUCGACUGUAAAUCGACUUUUCUAAGUCAGGCUUUCAGAGUUGACUGCAAGUCGACUUUGCAUAGACGUCUGCAGACAUCCUUUAAAUGUUGACUUUACAACGUCUAGAAAAAGGCAUGCCGUCCUGUAGUCUUGUGUGCAUCAUGUAUUGUUGAGAAACAUAAAUAUUCAUAUCAACUGCUCUAGUACUUUUAACAAAUAAAAUGUAAGUGAUAAUAUCUUUAUUUUUUAAAUAAAACCCAAGUGGUGGUACCUUUAAUUCUACAAAACCUAAAUGGUACUAAUCUUUGUAUCCUCAUUGAAAAAUUUUCCUAUUCUAACCCAUGUGGUACUUUUUUUAAUUUCUAUACAAAACCUAAAUAAAAAAUGUUAAAAUUACAAAAACUUGGCGCUGCUAGAUGUCGAAAUAGAAUCGAAAUGUAAUGUUGUAAAAACAGCCAAGAGAUUAAUUCCGUAUUAUAAGAAUUUGUAUUAUUAGAAAUUACAGAACUACUUAAGAUUUUAAUCUAUCGUGAUUACAGCUUGAAUAUAGUAAAUAUUUCAGAGACAUUAAAAAAAUCCAAUUUAUCACAGAAUUAUCUUUUCGCGGGGUGAGAUAAAGAACUUCUGAUUUCUUAUUUCUGUGUUACGCAAUUUCCUUCAAUGAAACAAAAGAAAGACUGAUGAUCUACGAAUUUUGCAAAUUUUUCAUAUGAGCAUUUAUGUUUUAGAACAAAUGAUUGGUCUUUUAAUCCAUCUAUCCAUUCCAUCUGAAACAGAGUAAUCAAUAAAUAAUUAUUAUUUUUGAAUAGAAAUGAAAAGUCUAUUGCAAAUCCAACUGUAAUUUUGUGUCACAUAUAUUUAUUCAAAUACAUAAAUUAGAAAAAUGUGAUGAGAUUUUUUGUUACAAAGUUAACAUUAUCUAGAUUAACAUUAUCUGUCAUUAACAUUAUUAUUAAUGUUUUUAAGAUUCUUACAAUUUAUGGAAACAAAUUAAUAAUACAUUAAUACUUUACUUUCGUAUAAAUAAGAUAAUUAUAUUUAAUGUUUUUUUGUUAAAAUAUUAAUACAAUAUUAGUGAAGUUUGAAAAAUGUUAUCAAGUUUUCAAAAACUUCAGAACUUUGAAGAGUUAACAAAUUUAAAAAAUAACGUUAUUGGACACUUUAUUGUUUGCUUACAAUACGGAAAAAUCGCUCCUUAUCAAGACUUGCACGCUAUUUAUAGAGUAAGAGCUUUUGCGUCUUUGGAUCAAGGCCAUAUUAGAAUGUCCAUUGUACCUGGAUUACUUCCUAAAACACAAGAUAUAAUUCUUAUAAUAAUGAGUAUUUUGCUCAAUCAAAAGAGAAAAAGAAAAAAAGUAGAAGAAAAUGGAGAACUAGUAUGGAAUUGUACAAACCUCCAAAGAAAGUUGUCUUGUACGUUAAGCUUGUCUUUAAAUUCUUGUAAGAGGUUUGUCACCCCAAUAAGAAUCUCUUCAAAUAGUCGACUAUUCUUGUCAAAUAAGCAAUUCGCAAAAUGUCCGUAAUCUUUAAAAUACAUAGCGCUAUUAUUAAAGGAUCGUUUCCAGAUAAGAAGAAAGAUUAAAUCUUAACGUCGUUGUAAGCAUCUUGGAAAAGUGAUUCAGCAGCUCUAAAUCGCAGCUUUUCGUUUAUCGUAGUAUAAAGAUGUUUCGGGAUAUUUCUCAUCCACGUAAAUGUAUUAAUCAGAUUUUUUUUAACUUUUUUAAAACUCAAAACAUAAUUUACUGUUAAUUAUUCAUUAAAGUAACGUUUUGAAUGCUAUAACAUCCAAAAUUUCAACAUAUUUGUUGAAAUUUAAUAAAUUUAUAUGUUUAUUAACGAAUUUUGGUAUUAAUAAUUUUGUACAAGAGAAAAAUAAACUUUUGUCAGCUUCGUCACUUUAAGAGAUUUAUUUUAGCACUUAUAAUACACAAAUUAUACAUACAUAUAUACAUAUAUAUCGUACAUACGUACAUACAGAGGGUGCCGCAGAAAACAAAAGUGUUAUCAAAAAAACCAAUACACUUCUCACAUAACGCAUUCAAAAUCAAUUCUACAAAUUUGUUUGACAUACGUAAGACGUUCUCUUAAUCGACACUAAGUAUACGCGGAGUGAGCGUUCAAUCCGUUCAAUCAGGAACGUCUGUCAUAGUUUCUCUCUUUCGUUUACGCAAGUAUAACAAAACGCGUUUUUUUUCUCUUUCUUAAUUAUGUUUAAGAUUUAAGACUUGAACGUCAGAGAGACAAUCAGACGUUUACAUUUAUAAAUGGUUCGUCUUAUGUAAACGGAAUAGAAACCCUGUAUUGUAACGCAUGUAACUUCGAAAUACUAGUAUAAACGCCGCGUUCUCGGAGUAACUUUACUAUAUUCUAUGGUCAACUAUAAAUACAGAGUCGCAUCUGAAGAUGCAAUCUCAUAAGUUUUCAAAAGACGUCUAAAUAAAGACACGAGAGAUCGCCUUUUCAGGCCUCUCUUAAAACGAAAAAUCACUCCAUGUUUCUCCAAUUUAGAAGAUUUAAAAAUGUUUUAAAAAGCAUUCAAACUUCAUAGACAUUUUUUAAAGAUGUCCAAUAACAUCUCACAAAUGUCUUAAAAAAAAACAUCUUUUAAUCAUUAUGCAGACGUUUUAAAAUUUGCGCGCAUGCAAUGUGUGAUCCGAAGAGCUCAGAAAAAAUAAUUUUUUUUCCUCUGUCAAUGGCUGUAUUCAGCAGAAAAAAGCAGCUUUGCAACUGUUGUAAAUCUUUAAUAUUAUUGGUUUAUACAUUUAGAUCAGACAAAAACUGAGAAAAAAGAUCAAUCGUAUUAAAGAAUCUUACAACAGUUGUAAAAUUGCCUUUUCUGUUGAGUGCAGCGUAUGUGUUCAAGUAGCAAUAUUUUAAAUAAGAACAAUUUCAAUUUAAUGAAUACUCUAAAUUAUGCAUAAAUUAUUCGCUGAAAACUGUUUUAGUAUUUCUUUAAAGAUUUCAUUCUGUAUGCACGAAUUCUAGGACCACUUGUAAAAAAGAGUUUUAGUUUUCUACACUUCUGUUAAGGAUGUAAGAGUGUAUAAGAGAUAUCCUAAAUUUAUUUUGUUACUCUCAGGCGAUCUUUUAGACGUCUUCUGAACAUUUGUGUUAUUUGGAUUAGUUAUUUCAUGUAGUUUCGACGAGUUAAGCGUAUUUCUUGAGGCUAACAGUCCGUUUCCUUUCUUCAUAAAAAAAAA